GAUUCGGCGGCGGCGGAGGCAGCGGCGGUUACGGCGGUGGUGGAAAGAUCAUCAAGGUGAUAACGCUCAGCAGCGGCGGCGGUGGAUACGGAGGCGGCGGAUACGGCGGGGGCGGCAGCAGCGGAUGGAAGUUCGGUGGUGGAAGUGGAGGAUUCGGCGGCGGAGGAUACGGUGGCAGCAGCGGGUGGAAAUUCGGUGGUGGAAGUAGCGGAUUCGGCGGCGGACUCGGCAGCGGAGGAUGGAAACUAGGCGGCGGUGGCGGGUACGGCGGUGGCGGUGGCGGAUACGGCGGCGGCGGUGGAGGCUGGUGGUAAUACUCACGGUGUUCACGAGCAAACCGAACAAAAUUCGUUCGCCGAUCAUCCGCGCAUAUCUCGGCCGUAAACAUCGAUCGUCGUCGAUAAGGAAAUCAACUCGCGUCUGGCCCUUUCUAUCCUUCGAUCCUCGUCAGACCGUCAUCGGAAGACCAAAGAAGCCAAAAUCGGGACAUCGCAUGAGGCGGAGUCAAGAAGUUGCCCGGUAUAUCGCCGAAUAAAUCCGCAAGAGAAAGCGUUACAGCGUUACAACGCACGAGGCAUCCUCUUCGCUACCCUUCACCACCAAGCGCAGGGAUAUCUCUUGGAAACAGCGAACGAUAUCGUCGCCUCGCAUCCGGCCAUUCGAACUAGCCGCCGUGUCGUCUAGGCGAAACGACUUCCUUCUCGACGGCAUAGCGUUUUCUCUUCGCGUGCCCGCCGCUCGCCUCCCGUUUCUUCCAUCGCAAUCCGGAAAAUCGGCGAACGUUCCAUUUACGAGCGAAUCGCGCGGCCUGAUAUUUCAAUUCCGCUUCCACGUAUGAACAUUUGCCCACCUCAUCUCCCGUUUACUUAACCCCCCGCGCUCACUUCCGAGGAUCGGAAGCGUCGGAGUAAGGCACUCCCCACCGGCACGACACAUUUAGCCCAUUACAAACACGUAGCGCAGAAUCCGUGUAAUUCCGGGUAUUAUCCCGGAUGCCUCGAGCACGAGCGGAGCAAAAGUGAUGAAAAACUGCAAAAUUACACCUGGUGAAAAAAAAUAGCGCUGUGAUCCAUCCCACGCACACUUUUCUCUCUUCCUUUAUUGCCUGGACCACCCCGUUCGAUUCAAUGAUCCACAAUAAAUAAGUCAUAUUGAUAGAAUAA